GUUUUCGAAAGCUUCCAUACCAUCAGUUGAAGGACAAUGCUCCUACACAGGCAAGGAACUACCUGCCCAAAUCAACCUUGUUAUUUGUCCUCCGGGCUGCCUUGCGCAGAAGGAUAAUGUCUGGGGAUCUGAACCUUAUACAGAGGAGUCUUCAGUAUGUGCAGCUGGCAUCCACAGUGGGCAAAUUACCAACAAAGGAGGCAAUCUGGUAACCCAGAAGACGGAAAGGAAAGGACAAAUAUGGAUCUUCUACAAGAAAUGGAAUAAAAACAAAACUUUCUGGUCCAUCAUCUGGAUCAUUUGUGUUCAUCUCCUUAGCUGAAUUCAAGAGAACUCAUUAUACCCAGACAUCUUACCAGAUACCACAGAC